rnacentral:rRNA from 1 species
AGAGUUUGAUCCUGGCUCAGAAUCAACGCUGGCGGCGCGCUUAACACAUGCAAGUCGCACGAGAAAGCAGUAGCAAUACUGUGAGUACAGUGGCGUACGGGUGAGUAACACGUGGAUCAUCUACCUUCUAGUGGGGAAUACCCCCGGGAAACUGGGGACAAUACCGCAUAAGCCUGCGAAGGGAAAGCAGCAAUGCGCCGAGAGAGGAGUCCGCGGCCGAUUAGCUAGUUGGCGGGGUAACGGCCCACCAAGGCGAAGAUCGGUAGCCGGCCUGAGAGGGCACACGGCCACACUGGCACUGAAACACGGGCCAGACUCCUACGGGAGGCAGCAGUGGGGAAUCUUGCACAAUGGAGGAAACUCUGAUGCAGCGACGCCGCGUGAGCGAUGAAGCCCCUCGGGGUGUAAAGCUCUUUCGACGGGAAAGAUAAUGACGUACCGAAGAAGAAGCCCGAU